rnacentral:rRNA from 1 species
GACGAACGCUGGCGGCGUGCCUAAUACAUGCAAGUUGAGCGCUGAAGGUUGGUACUUGUACCAACUGGAUGAGCAGCGAACGGGUGAGUAACGCGUGGGGAAUCUGCCUUUGAGCGGGGGACAACAUUUGGAAACGAAUGCUAAUACCGCAUAAAAACUUUAAACACAAGUUUUAAGUUUGAAAGAUGCAAUUGCAUCACUCAAAGAUGAUCUCGCGUUGUAUUAGCUAGUUGGUGAGGUAAAGGCUCACCAAGGCGAUGAUACAUAGCCGACCUGAGAGGGUGAUCGGCCAAAUUGGGACUGAGACACGGCCCAAACUCCUACGGGAGGCAGCAGUAGGGAAUCUUCGGCAAUGGACGAAAGUCUGACCGAGCAACGCCGCGUGAGUGAAGAAGGGUUUCGGAUCGUAAAACUCUGUUGGUAGAGAAGAACGUUGGUGAGAGUGGAAAGCUCAUCAAGUGACGGUAACUACCCAGAAAGGGACGGCUAACUACGUG